ensembl:lncRNA
AAAGCUGUAUGCCCUUUGCUAGAGGCUGGAGAUGCAUGAUGUGCUAUGUGCUUUUCUAACUCUUAUAUUCUUCUGUUGGCUGUUACAAAAACAGGAUAUUGGGCUGGUGGACUUUAGCCUUGAACUCUUGUGACCACUCAUAUGUGGGUAUUAUCCUAAAUUGGACAUAACUUAGUGAAGGCUGUGUUGCCAGCAGCGGAAGCCAGAUCUAAAGAAAGGAGACAAGUGCCUUGUUGUAUGGAUGUCAGAUUCCACUGGAAGUCAGCAAGUGAACCCCUGAUCUGAAUUCUCUACUUGAGAUGAAUAAUAGACUGAAUAUGGUAUGUGACGGCUCUGUAGAUGCUGGAGGUAUAACGCGAAUGAGUACAUUGUUCUGAAACGCUGCCAUAAGGGCCCUGUUGCAGAUUUGGAAGCAUCCUGACUACCAGACAGAAUCCACGUGCUGGAGUCAUCUGGUUGGUACCGCUGAAAAUAGGUCCUUCUUCCAACAUACAUGGGUCCCUGAGGUUAACCUGCAGAUACAUGAUUGCUGAACUGGAAGAGAUCUGGGUUGUGUCUGGCCAAGGGUGUCUCAGGCUUGAUAGCUCUGCAAUGAGCCUUUUGUAGAGAUUUAGGCUAAGAUGCUGCUCUGUACAUUAUGACCACUUCUGCUUUGGGCUGUGCUGGCUGAGCUGGGCUGCUGUGCUGGCUGCAGCUAGUGUCAAUGUGUAAGGUUCAUCACCUGUCUCCUAAAGGAAAGGGGACAAAGCCCCUGGCAGCAGAAGGUGAGUCACAUAGUCUUAGCCCUGAUUCAGUCUGGAUCUGUUGUCAGUGGCAAUAGGAGCACAGAUCCCAAAGGCAAGUCUUCUUCCUCCAGGAAUAUCUUUCAGGCAGAUCCAAGAGUGACUUGAAUGUGUAACGUCAGUUAUAAGUGACCAAUGCAGAUAGGAAUUAUUAAAUCUGUUAGCAUAGAGUUGCCUUAAUGAGGUGUCAAAUUCUUCACAAAAGCAAAUCCUAUUAAAAAGACCCAAGAUUGAAAGCAGAGUAGAUUCUAAAAUGAUGGAAAAGGAAAGGAAUGAAAGAACACAGUAUUGAUCAUUCACGCCAGUAAUGUCUGUUUCUGUUUAGAAAUAUGAAAAACAGAUUAAUGAAUUAAUAAUUCAGUGUCAAAAAGAGGCCCAGAAGGAUUAAGUCUAUUAAAGUAAUGUGGCUGUGACUAUAAUAACUGCAGCACCUUCUGGAGGUGAGAAGAAGACUGCGCAGUGGGAGAGGGAUGAGAGUCAGUUACAAAACCCCAGCAGAGACAAGUCAGGGAAGGGAUGUAUCAGAUUUUAAUUCCAUGACAGUGAAUGGCCAUUGAGGAUCUGGGCUCUGAGGGCACUCAGCAGGCAGCACUGAGGUAAGGGAUAUCCAACCAGCUGCAUCCUCUGCUAGGUCAGAUUUCAGGUAUUGCAGCAGGGCUGUUAGCUGUGAAGGCAAGUCAUAAAGAAGGCACUGCACAGACACUGCUGCAUCUGCGAAGAAUUUGUGUUCAUGGUGAAACCUGUGCAAUGGUCUGCCUUUUCCAUACUGGAGCUUUUCCUUGCUUCAGCACAAACCAUCUCCCAGGAAAUCAGAAAGUGCGCUGCAGAAGUGAUAUGAUAGAAACUGGUAAGAGGUGUAGAAACAAGCUUCAGGAGCUGUGAUGGAAUGUUUUGUUUCCUGGGACAACAAUUAUCAGCAUUUCUGAGCAUACAGCAUGACUUUGUCUGUCCAACCAACACUUAUUUUGAAUC